rnacentral:rRNA from 1 species
AUCUUAGUUCAGGAUGAACGCUGGCGGCGUGCUUAACACAUGCAAGUCGAACGGAGUUUUUAAACGGAAGUUUUCGGAUGGAAGUUUAAGAACUUAGUGGCGGACGGGUGAGUAACGCGUGGGUAACCUGCCUCAUACAGGGGGAUAACAGUUAGAAAUGACUGCUAACACCGCAUAAUAUAGUGAAACCGCAUGAUUUUUGCUAUCAAAUAUUUAUAGGUAUGAGAUGGGCCCGCGUCUGAUUAGCUAGUUGGUGGGGUAAAAGCCUACCAAGGCGACGAUCAGUAGCCGGCUUGAGAGAGUGACCGGCCACAUUGGGACUGAGACACGGCCCAAACUCCUACGGGAGGCAGCAGUGGGGAAUAUUGGACAAUGGGGGAAACCCUGAUCCAGCGAACCGCCGCGUGAGUGAAGAAGUAUUUCGGUAUGUAAAGCUCUAUCAGCAGGGAAGAUAAUGACAGUACCUGACUAAGAAGCCCCGGCUAACUACGUGCCAGCCGCUGC